rnacentral:rRNA from 1 species
CCUACGGGUGGCAGCAGUAGGGAAUUUUCGGCAAUGGGCGGAAGCCUGACCGAGCAACGCCGCGUGAACGAAGAAGGUAUUCGUAUUGUAAAGUUCUUUUAACAGGGAAGAAAGAGAAAUCUGACGGUACCUGAUGAAUAAGCUCCAGCUAAAUGCGUGCACGCAGACGCUGCAAUACGUAGGGAGCGAGCGUUAUCCGGAAUGAUUGGCCGUAAGGGGUGCGUAGAUGGCAGAGUAAGUCGUUUGUAAAAAUGCUGGGCUCAAUCCAGUAGGGCAAAAGAUACUGCAAAGCUUGAGUAUGACAGAGGAGAGUGGAACUACAUGUGUAGCGGUGAAAUGCUUAGAUAUCACGAAGAACUCCGAUUGCGAAGGCAGCUUACUAAACUGCCACUGACAUUGAUGCUCGAAAGUGUGGGUAUCAAACAGGAUUAGAUACCCUGGUAGUC